ensembl:rRNA 5S_rRNA 5S ribosomal RNA
CUCUGCAGCCAGUUUGCCUUGGACUGUGAUCACAUCAGAGCUCACAAGCUAAGCAGGGUCAGGCCAGGAUGAUACUUGUAUUGGAACUUCUAGGCCCAGGUUCUGCAGGAA